CGUUUUUUUUUUCUCCCUCCUAAGUCCUAACCCCACAAAAAUCCCGCGAACUUUCGUCUCACCACGCGCCGCGUGCCCCCUACAAAUACCAAACAACACCCACCACGUCCACUCACAAACCACGCAGGAAACCUCAGAAAAUCACCGUACGCGACGCGGGCCCAAGAAAACCCCGACAGAAACCGCGCAGCAGCAACACCACCACCGGCGUCGGAGAUGGCGUUCCGGCUGAGCAACAGCCUGCUCGGGAUCCUGAACGCGGUGACGUUCCUCCUGUCGGUGCCCGUGCUGGGCGGCGGCAUCUGGCUGGCGACGCGCGCCGACGGCACGGAGUGCGAGCGCUACUUCUCGGCGCCGGUGAUCGCGUUCGGGGUGUUCCUCCUCCUCGUCUCCCUCGCGGGCCUCGUCGGCGCCUGCUGCCGCGUCAACUGCCUCCUCUGGUUCUACCUCGUCGCCAUGUUCGUCCUCAUCGUCGUCCUCUUCUGCUUCACCGUCUUCGCCUUCGUCGUCACCAACAAGGGCGCCGGCGAGGCCGUCUCCGGCAGAGGGUACAAGGAGUACAGGCUCGGCGACUACUCCAACUGGCUGCAGAAGCGGAUGGAGAACAGCAAGAACUGGAACAGGAUCAGGAGCUGCCUCCAGGACUCCAAGGUCUGCAAGAAACUGCAGGAC
rnacentral:lncRNA from 1 species